UCACUGCAACCUCCGCCUCCCAGGUUCAAGUGCUUCUCCUGCCUCAGCCUCACGAGUAGCUGGGAUUACAGGUUUCAGGCACAGAACUGUAUAUCCAAUAAUAGUGAAAUGGAUCCCACUAAUUAUGACAGAAAUGAUGAUACAUUUAAAUGACUUGGAUGUUUUAUAGGUUGGCAAUCAUCAUGAGCCCCUGUUCUCAUUCUGCAAAUGGUGAGGCUCUCUAUUGUCCUGACCCCACAGUUCCUGUCCCAUGACCAGGGCCAGCUCACCAAGCAGCUGCAGCAGCACGUAAAGUCAGUGACAUGCCCAUGCGAGUACCUGAGGAAGCCAGGUGGAGUUUGUCCCAGAGCUGCACAAAAUCAUCACCAGCAUGAUGAAACGGAGUAGACUUCAGAAAAAGCAGUUUGGUCAGAUGUAAUCAGCAGUGAACUGAGAAUCAACUGAGUGACAUUGAGUCAGUAAAUCUCUGACUGCCUCAGUUACCCCAUAUGAUAGUUUUGAGGAUGGGAACAUUGAGAGAGUUGAUUUGGAAGGAUAUCAAGAGUAAAAAUUCCAACAUUUUAGUUCCUUUAAGUUAAAUCCAGGCACUAUUUUUCCUGCAAGUCUCCUGUUCCUUUCAGAUUGCACAGGUGAGAGUGCUCAGAUUAGGGCUGGAGGUUGCACACUAUUGCUCCCACACUGACAGUGCCCCCAUGUCGUGCAUGUAUUCUGUGCAUUUUCCUGUGCUAAACACUCUCCCAAAACAUCGUGGGGCCUGAUUCUUCCUCUUUGUUC
rnacentral:lncRNA from 1 species